AGCGAACGCUGGCGGCAGGCCUAACACAUGCAAGUCGAACGGCUCUUCGGAGCAGUGGCGGACGGGUGAGUAACGCGUGGGAACGUGCCCUUUGGUACGGAACAACUGAGGGAAACUUCAGCUAAUACCGUAUGUGCCCUAUGGGGGAAAGAUUUAUCGCCAAAGGAGCGGCCCGCGUUGGAUUAGGUAGUUGGUGGGGUAAAGGCCCACCAAGCCUACGAUCCAUAGCUGGUCUGAGAGGAUGAUCAGCCACACUGGGACUGAGACACGGCCCAGACUCCUACGGGAGGCAGCAGUGGGGAAUCUUGCGCAAUGGGCGAAAGCCUGACGCAGCCAUGCCGCGUGAAUGAUGAAGGUCUUAGGAUUGUAAAAUUCUUUCACCGGGGGAGAUAAUGACGGUACCCGGAGAAGAAGCCCCGGCUAACUUCGUGCCAGCCGCCGCAGUAA
rnacentral:rRNA from 1 species